rnacentral:lncRNA from 1 species
AUGGUGUCCCAAAAACCAGCUAUUCAGACCAGAUAUGGUCCCUCGAGCAGGAUUUCGGAGCUGGCGCAGCACAAAACCUCCAAAACCGUCUGGGCCACGACUCCUUGUGAGAAGCUGGUCUGGGGGAACCAGGAACCAAUAUGGCCCAUAUCCCCAGCAGCACUCAGAGCCGUUCCCAGUGCGAGAAUUCAAUACCUGGCCAGGCCCAAAAGAAGCUUCUCAGCGUGGGACGACCAAUGGAGGAAGGAGGAGGCGCUGAGCUUCUUUAAGAGGAAACAAUGUCCUUCCUCCCAGUAUGAAAACACUGUACGCCUGUCAACGCCUAGAACCAGGACUCCAGGUUCCCAGGAAGCCAAGUAAAAGCCUCAUUAUUAGACAUUAAACUUCAAACAAACAGGAGAAAAAUAAACAUUUCAUGUCAUUUCA